rnacentral:snoRNA from 1 species
AGCCUCAUUCCAUAUUAGAAUGGGCACAGUUGAUCAUGGUGUCCAGAAUUGCUUAUGUGGCUAAACUGAGAGGCAGGUUUUAUGCUUCCAUCACAGUAAAUUUAUUGCACUGGUGACAAUGAGACUUGAAACUUUU